rnacentral:rRNA from 1 species
UAUGGAUCAAACAAUUUGAAUUGGAAUAUAAGAGGUCUUAAUAAUCCGGCCCGGAGGCAGACGAUUUUCAAUCUAAUCAAAGAUUCUGCCUACAACAUUAUAUGCCUACAAGAAACCAAAUUGGCUAUGGUGGACAAGUCUGUGAUUGUUGAGUGCCUGGGUACAAAUUUCUUGGACAAUUUUAUUGCCAAAGAGGCUGUUGGUACCCAUGGUGGUAUUAUCAUUGCUGUGGCGCAUGGAUUCUCUAUCACGUUGGAUCAGGCGGCCUCGGGAACUCAUUUCCUCUCUGGCAUAGUUGUUGAUCUAUCGACGAACUCCUCUUGGUCCUUGAGAGAGUCCUAG